UCUGGGAAACUGCCUGAUGGAGGGGGAUAACUACUGGAAACGGUAGCUAAUACCGCAUGACCUCGAAAGAGCAAAGUGGGGGAUCUUCGGACCUCACGCCAUCGGAUGUGCCCAGAUGGGAUUAGCUAGUAGGUGAGGUAAUGGCUCACCUAGGCGACGAUCCCUAGCUGGUCUGAGAGGAUGACCAGCCACACUGGAACUGAGACACGGUCCAGACUCCUACGGGAGGCAGCAGUGGGGAAUAUUGCACAAUGGGCGCAAGCCUGAUGCAGCCAUGCCGCGUGUGUGAAGAAGGCCUUAGGGUUGUAAAGCACUUUCAGCGAGGAGGAAGGCAUCACACUUAAUACGUGUGGUGAUUGACGUUACUCGCAGAAGAAGCACCGGCUAACUCCGUGCCAGCAGCCGCGGUAAUACGGAGGGUGCAAGCGUUAAUCGGAAUUACUGGGCGUAAAGCGCACGCAGGCGGUUUGUU
rnacentral:rRNA from 1 species